UGUUCCUACGGGGCGCAGCAGUCGGGAAUAUUGCGCAAUGGAGGAAACUCUGACGCAGUGACGCCGCGUAUAGGAAGAAGGUCUUCGGAUUGUAAACUAUUGUCAUUAGGGAAGAGAAAGGACAGUACCUAAAGAGGAAGCUCCGGCUAACUACGUGCCAGCAGCCGCGGCAAUACGUAGGGGGCAAGCGUUAUCCGGAAUUACUGGGUGUAAAGGGAGCGUAGACGGCUGUGCAAGUCUGGAGUGAAAGGCGGGGGCCCAACCCCCG
rnacentral:rRNA from 1 species